rnacentral:rRNA from 1 species
GAUGAACGCUAGCUACAGGCUUAACACAUGCAAGUCGAGGGGCAGCAUGAUUGAAGCUUGCUUCAAUCGAUGGCGACCGGCGCACGGGUGAGUAACACGUAUCCAACCUGCCGAUAACUCGGGGAUAGCCUUUCGAAAGAAAGAUUAAUACCCGAUAGUAUAGUAUUUCCGCAUGGUUUCACUAUUAAAGAACUUCGGUUAUCGAUGGGGAUGCGUUCCAUUAGAUAGUUGGCGGGGUAACGGCCCACCAAGUCAACGAUGGAUAGGGGUUCUGAGAGGAAGGUCCCCCACAUUGGAACUGAGACACGGUCCAAACUCCUACGGGAGGCAGCAGUGAGGAAUAUUGGUCAAUGGACGAGAGUCUGAACCAGCCAAGUAGCGUGAAGGAUGACUGCCCUAUGGGUGGUAAACUUCUUUUAUACGGGAAUAAAGUGGAGUAUGCAUACUCCUUUGUAGGUACCGUAUGAAUAAGGAUCGGCUAACUCCGUG